CUGACAGCAUGAUCUGAAAAAACGAACCCUGGAGGUGAUCUAUGACAGCGGAGACACUGACUGCUCUCUGAGGAUGCAUGUGCAUAUUCAUUGAUGCUCGUUGUGGCCAAAGUUUGCAGCACAUUCAGAGGAGCUGAUUGAUGUUUUUCCAGUGUUACCUUCCAGAUCACUUCCAGAUGUUCUGCAGCUCUGUUCCCUUCAGUCUGACCCUGAAGAAGCAGUGAGGAUGGAGGUUUCUCUUCAUCUUCUUCGUUUUUCACAGGGACAGGAGUGAAUAUGAACUUGGUGAUAUCAGCCUCCUCCAGUCUUUGAAGCUGCUCUCCC